rnacentral:lncRNA from 1 species
AAUUUUCAGAUGAAUCGGACAUUCUGUUGUUGGGUUGCUGCCCCUGAAAUGGUAAUUUUAAGGAAAGUUUGCUGUUUUUUGGUUAUUAUCUUGAAUAUUAUUAUAGAUAGAGAUAAACUGUAAACAGCAAUAAUGUUCAGCAAAGUAAGAUCUACAAAUAAGUCAACAUGACCAAAAUGGUCAGUUGACCACUUUAGGAGUUAUUGCCCUUUAUAGUCAAUUUUUAACCAUUUUUCGUAAAUCUUAGUAAUCUUUUAGAAAAAUCUUCUUCUCUGAAACUACUGGGCCAAAUUUUACCAAACUUAGCCAUAAUCAUCAUUGGGGUAUCUAGUUUUAAAAAAUGUGUCCGGUAACUCGGCCAACAAACCAAGAUGGCCGCCAUGGCUAAAAAUAGAACAUGGGGUAAAAUGCAGUUUUUGGCUCAUAACUCAAAAACCAAAGCAUUAAGAGCAAAUCUGACACGAAGUAAAAUUGUUGAUCAUGUCACGAUCUAUCUGCCCUGGAAUUUUCAGAUGAAUCGGAUAAUCGGUUGUUAGGUUGCCUCCCCUGAAUUGGUAAUUUUGAGGAAAUUUUGCUGUUUUUUUGUUAUUAUCUUGAAUAUUAUUAUAGAUAGAGAUAAACUGUGAACAGCAAUAAUGCACAGCAAAGUAAGAACUAAAAAUAAGUCAGUAUGACCAAAAUAGUCAAUUGACCCCCUAAGGAGUUAUUGCUCUUCAUAGUCAAUUUUUAACAAUUUUCUUAAAAUUUGAAGAUUUUCAAUAACAUUUUCCACAGAAAGUACUGUUAUAGAUAGAGAUAAUUGUAAGCAGCAAGAAUGUUUAGUAAAGUAAGAUCUACAAACACAUCACCAUCACAAAAACACAAUUUUGUCAUGAAUCUAUCUGUGUCCAUUGUUUAAUAUUCACAUAGACCAAGGUGAGCAACACAGGCUCUUUAGAGCCUCUAGUUUACAAGA